AUGAACGCUAGCUACAGGCUUAACACAUGCAAGUCGAGGGGCAGCAUUUCAGUUUGCUUGCAAACUGGAGAUGGCGACCGGCGCACGGGUGAGUAACACGUAUCCAACCUGCCGAUAACUCGGGGAUAGCCUUUCGAAAGAAAGAUUAAUACCCGAUGGUAUAAUCAGACCGCAUGGUCUUGUUAUUAAAGAAUUUCGGUUAUCGAUGGGGAUGCGUUCCAUUAGGCAGUUGGUGAGGUAACGGCUCACCAAACCUUCGAUGGAUAGGGGUUCUGAGAGGAAGGUCCCCCACAUUGGAACUGAGACACGGUCCAAACUCCUACGGGAGGCAGCAGUGAGGAAUAUUGGUCAAUGGGCGCAGGCCUGAACCAGCCAAGUAGCGUGAAGGAUGACUGCCCUAUGGGUUGUAAACUUCUUUUAUAUGGGAAUAAAGUUUUCCACGUGUGGAAUUUUGUAUGUACCAUAUGAAUAAGGAUCGGCUAACUCCGUGCCAGCAGCCGCGGUAAUACGGAGGAUCCGAGCGUUAUCCGGAUUUAUUGGGUUUAAAGGGAGCGUAGGUGGACAGUUAAGUCAGUUGUGAAAGUUUGCGGCUCAACCGUAAAAUUGCAGUUGAUACUGGCUGUCUUGAGUACAGUAGAGGUGGGCGGAAUUCGUGGUGUAGCGGUGAAAUGCUUAGAUAUCACGAAGAACUCCGAUUGCGAAGGCAGCUCACUGGACUGCAACUGACACUGAUGCUCGAAAGUGUGGGUAUCAAACAGGAUUAGAUACCCUGGUAGUCCACACAGUAAACGAUGAAUACUCGCUGUUUGCGAUAUACAGUAAGCGGCCAAGCGAAAGCAUUAAGUAUUCCACCUGGGGAGUACGCCGGAAACGGUGAAACUCAAAGGAAUUGACGGGGGCCCGCACAAGCGGAGGAACAUGUGGUUUAAUUCGAUGAUACGCGAGGAACCUUACCCGGGCUUAAAUUGCAUUUGAAUAUAUUGGAAACAGUAUAGCCGUAAGGCAAAUGUGAAGGUGCUGCAUGGUUGUCGUCAGCUCGUGCCGUGAGGUGUCGGCUUAAGUGCCAUAACGAGCGCAACCCUUAUCUUUAGUUACUAACAGGUCAUGCUGAGGACUCUAGAGAGACUGCCGUCGUAAGAUGUGAGGAAGGUGGGGAUGACGUCAAAUCAGCACGGCCCUUACGUCCGGGGCUACACACGUGUUACAAUGGGGGGUACAGAAGGCAGCUACCUGGUGACAGGAUGCUAAUCCCAAAAGCCUCUCUCAGUUCGGAUCGAAGUCUGCAACCCGACUUCGUGAAGCUGGAUUCGCUAGUAAUCGCGCAUCAGCCAUGGCGCGGUGAAUACGUUCCCGGGCCUUGUACACACCGCCCGUCAAGCCAUGAAAGCCGGGGGUACCUGAAGUACGUAACCGCAAGGAGCGUCCUAGGGUAAAACUGGUAAUUGGGGCU
rnacentral:rRNA from 1 species